CUUGUGAGUCAUGGAAAACCACGUUUUGUGUAUUUCAUGAUGCCUUGUUUCUAGUAUAAUUUGAGUUGGUUAUUUAUGAACAUUUCCUUGGGUCUUGUUUGUAUUUUCAUGUAUUCAAGAACAAUAUUUAGGACUUCAUAAUAUCUAAUAGUAAAUAUAGAAUAGACUUAUAUGUAACUUUGAAUGCUUCGGUUUACUUGAAAGCUGAUUUUAUUAAAGGAGCCACCUCGAGCUGCACCUGUCUAACAAUCCUUUGAUGUUUUUCUUACAGGGGAAUCUUUCAUUGAGAUGAUUGAAAUCACUGCAGUGAGAAUGAAAAUUCCUUGGGCUCCUUUCCUUUUAAAAGCUGCAUGCAAGAACUGUGUGGUGAGUCAAAUGUAGACUAAUGGUUAUGUAAAUGUCACUAAUUUUAGAUACAGUCAAGAUCUGAAAGUGUGUUUCCUUUUAAGAUUUUUUCUUCACUAUCAUGACUCAGUAUCACUUGCUAAUCUCAUUUUAUUAGCACUGUUAUUUUACCAUUAAAAUACACAUGACUUCUUCAAAUAAGUGCUCGCAGCUUCAAGUUUGUGUCAUAUAGAUCUUUUCAAAGGAGAAAGAAGCUUGGAUGCAGUGGGGAUUUGUUUUGAGUUCAUGCUUUGCAAGCCUGCUAUUGGUGCAGCUGCACAGGUACAAACAUGACAUAGAUGAAUAUGAAUUUAAGUUCUUAUGAUUCAUAAAUCUGCAUAAUUUUACUGUAUAGAGUUUCAGCCUGGUGUAUGUACUAGUAAAAAUCAGUUUUCUUGUCUAUCCCUGCUAUAGAUUUGAGCCAGUGAGGUUACUGAUGGCUAAAACUUCCAAUUUAGUUCAGACCUGAGCAGUUCUCAGUAGUAAAGCUCUCCAGUAUUAGCCUACAGCUUUUUGUAAAGUGAACACUUCUGUGUGGCAAAAUGAGCUUGACUACUCAGAAAAAGAUAUGCUAUCUGACUCAAAGUUUGAUAGCUUUCUCACUGAGGCUUCUUUAAGUAGUACUGUCUUGUAUUGGCUUAUCUGUUACUGCUUAAUACUAAAGACCUGCACUUACAUUUCAGCCAUUUCAAAACUUAAAAUGCUUGACCAGACUAUGUGGGUUAUAGACGAAAAAGACAUUAUUCUUUCACUAUUCCCCUCCCUUUAAAGGUCACUGCUUUUUGCUAGCAGACUGCAGGCUGUGGUGUUUGCAGAUGGCACUCCAUCCUGUUGCUCUUGUAGAUCUCUUUAAUGUAUCUAGGCUUGUUCUUCAGGACUUCUCUGAGUAGCUGUGGAUCUAAAGUGCCAGUAAGAAAGAUUUAAGAGUGUGUAACAAAUCAGUCAGUUUGCAUGACUUCAACAAAGUCCAGUGGCCAAAACAUUUGUUCCUACCUACUUCACUGUUGCUCGUGCAGGCCUUCCUGUGAAUAGUGGAACAGACUUGUUACAAGGUUCACCUUGUAGCUGGUACAAGGCAGGAUAUGGCAGGGAGUGGGAAGAAGCAGAAGGGGAAAGAUUGCGCUCUCUUGUUUGUAACCUAGCAGCUUGUAACAGUUAGAGGUGAUGAAAAGUUCCUAAACAUUUGAAAAGAAUGUCCUAUUUCUCACAUGGUUCACAGUUGCCUUAAAUAGUAUUAGCAACUGUAUUUUCCAGAGAUUUACUUGCAUUGGGGGUGCCAUAGCCCAUGGCUGAAUGGAAUUCCCUGUGCACUGCAGGUCUGGGGUCCUAAGAAUUGUACCUGAUGUAAGAAAGGAUGGCUUGCUGUUUUCAGUUCAGGUGCUUAUUUUCUGCUACUCUUAGGAACUGUAUGGGGAAAAAAGAUGCUUAGUUCAUAUAAAAGGGAAUGAAACGAUAGGCCUGCUUCUAAAUAAACUGAGGCAAGUAGCUGUAUAGGAGUGAAGAUGAUUAGUGAGAGAAGCAUGUCUAAAAAUCUGGUGCUGACAGGAAGGACAGGUCUGAUGAACCAGAAGAUUGGAAAGAUUGGGACAGCUUAGGCAAAGAUUUGGGGGUGGUUCUUGAAAUUGGAAGAAGGAGCAACUGAACAGAAGGGAACUGGUCUGAGGCAAAGAGAACACGAGUCAGGCUUGGGGAAAGGGGUUUGCACACCUUAGAUCAUUCCUGACAUUCAGUAGAGUGCUCUCCACUUGAGAUUUGGAAGGGAAUGCAGACUGUAAAGCAGCAGCCUCUGAAAUUGCUGUCAAUUUCAUGCCCCUCAGUGCAUUCCACAUAGAAGAGGGCAGCCUUAUCAGUGCUCUCAGCUACUUUGGAAAUUUUGGUCCUGAAAAUGAAUCACAAAAUAAUGAAGAAGUUGAGGUCGGAAGGCACCUCUGGAGAUCAUCUAGUCCAAGCAGGAGCUCAGGCAGAGCAGCUCUUUUAGGGCCAUGUCCAGUUGGGUUUUAGAUAUCUUCGAGGAUGGAGACUCUGCAACCUGUCUUAUUCAGACAAUUUCCUGCAUUUCAUUUUGUGCCUGUUGCCUCCUGUCCUGUCACUGGACACAACUGAGAACACCCUAGCUAUGUCAUCUUUACUCUUCCUUACCCCCAUCAGCAGGCAUUUCUAAUCUUUAAGAAUACACAGACGCAAGCCUUUUCUUCUCCUGGCUGGAGUCCCAGCUCUCUCAGCCUUUCUUCUCAUGAAAGAUGCUUCAGUUCUCUCAUUGUGUUUGUGGCCUUUUGUGGAAGUAAAUAAAAUGUUUCAACAAGUAUGAGAAUUGAAAUUCAGAGGGAAAUGCUUCUUUUGGUGGGAGAAAGCCCAAAACACAACCUAAUAACUUAACUGUAAAAACUGUAAAAAGAACAUGAAUCUCCCAAAGCAAAAGGCUGAGAAGUUAGAUAACUCCUUCUUUAAGAUUCUGCAAUCUUCUUUUGCCCCCUUGUGUUAGUAUACUACAAAGCAAUCUUCAUGAUCGUAUAGAGUAUUUAAUCUGAUUAUAGGAUUGGCAGGGACUAGUGCUGAGCCAAGGAAGGUGUUUGUGGUGUGAGCUGUGUGAGCAAGAAACCUGAUGCUGCUAUAGGUGCUGCAGAAAUUGGUAGAAAAUUCUGUAGGCAGUGCAACAAAAGACUGUAAGUAGAGGAAACCACCACCUCUUUGUGGCUACGUCAAAUGAGAAUUCCUAGGAACUGGACAUGAUGUUUUUCUGCCUUUAUUUUUAUAUGAUGCUAAACAAGUUACCAGGCCAUUGUUUUUGUAUUCCUCACUUCAGAGGUGUCUGAUUUAAGAAGCACUGGCUGUUCACACUUGCUGCUCAGCUUCUUAGGAGUUGGCAUGUGAGUUGAAAUACUAUGUAAUGUUAUGUCUGUUGACAGGCUCCUGUCUUCUUAAGCAGGGUACCUCAAACUGUUGCAUACUACUGUAGUUUCUACACCUCUGUGUCACAUUUGAAAUAGGGAUAAUAAGCUCUUACCUAGAGGGUUUUGUUUCUUUAAAAAAAACCCACUUCAGUAGCUGUACUACAAUAAUGCAUUUUCUCAUGGAAUUUUCUGUGGCAUUUAUUAAUUCUGAUCUUGGAGGAAGAGGUGAGUAUGGUGCAUCUUUUUAAGGACCAGAUCUGCAAUCAACUUUAUUUGUUACAAGGUCAAGCUGAGAAACCGAGAUUUUCCAUGUUGUCAACUUAUGAUCUACUCGUCCAGUGCUGUGAACUCCAAAAUACUCUUGAUUUGUGUGCUAUCUUCUCAGUGAUUACUUUUGCACAUAUAGCCAUUACUAUGAAA